GGUGCUUUCCUUGACGUUGUAUGAAAUGAUGUAUGUAUGUGCCUUCUUGUGAGUCGUAGUAGGGUAUGACGUACAUGUAGUUACAUUGUAUAUGUAGGUGCCAACUUGAUGAUACAAAAGGAUGCGUUUAAGUGCAUCCUUAAGGGCCGUAAUGGUUAUUUUACUACACUUGAUUAUCAUUGCUGGUCAUGGUGGAGGAGAUCUUG
rnacentral:lncRNA from 1 species